UGUGUAGGCGGUGAUUUAAGUUUGGUGUGAAAUCUCCCGGCUCAACCGGGAGGGUGCGCCGAAUACUGAAUGACUUGGAGUGCGGGAGAGGAAAGUGGAAUUCCUGGUGUAGCGGUGAAAUGCGUAGAUAUCAGGAGGAACACCGGUGGUGUAGACGGCUUUCUGGACCGUAACUGACGCUGAGACACGAAAGCGUGGGUAGCAAACA
rnacentral:rRNA from 1 species